rnacentral:rRNA from 1 species
AGAUUGAACGCUGGCGGCAGGCCUAACACAUGCAAGUCGAGCGGCAGCACGGGUACUUGUACCUGGUGGCGAGCGGCGGACGGGUGAGUAAUGCCUAGGAAUCUGCCUGAUAGUGGGGGAUAACGUUCGGAAACGGACGCUAAUACCGCAUACGUCCUACGGGAGAAAGUGGGGGAUCCUUCGGACCCCACGCUAUCAGAUGAGCCUAGGUCGGAUUAGCUAGUUGGUA